CCUACCUGGUUGAUCCUGCCAGUAGUCAUAUGCUUGUCUCAAAGAUUAAGCCAUGCAUGUCUGAGUUCAAACCCCAUGUCCGCACGGUCGUACCGCGAANGGCUCAUUAAAUCAGUCCUGGUUCCUUAGGUGAUACGGCCCUUGUCAUAAGGGUGAUNCGGAUAACUGUGGCAAAUCCAGAGCUAAUACGUGCAAUCGAGCCCCGACUCGCCCUNCAUCGGGUCGAGGAAGGGCGCUUUUAUUAGUGCGAGACCGGCGUUCGUCUCCCUUUACCGGGGGGCGAAUCCGCGUCAGGCGAACUCUGGAUAAUACGCACGACCGCUCGGUCCCUCGGGACGGCGGCGUGCCUUUCAAGCGUCUGCCCUAUCAAAUGUCGACGGUAGGUCAUGCGCCAACCGUGUUGACGACGGGUAACGGGGAAUCGGGGUUCGGUUCCGGAGAGGGAGCACGAGAAACGGCUACCACAUCCAAGGAAGGCAGCAGGCGCGCAACUUACCCACUCCCAGCUCGGGGAGGUAGUGACGAGAAAUAACGGCGCGGGUCUCGAGUCGGGCCCCGCGGUCGGAAUGAGCGUAGUCCAAACCCCUGACGGCGAUGACCCAUCGGAGGGCAAGCCUGGUGCCAGCAGCCGCGGUAAUUCCAGCUCCGAUAGCGUAUAUUAAAGUUGCUGCAGUUAAAAAGCUCGUAGUUGGAUCUCGAGGCGAUCACGAUCGCUCCGUCGUGGUUCCGUCGCGAGGUUCUCUUCCCCUCCGCGGGAAGGGGGCUUGGCCGCUCCACGGCGCCUUUCGUGCGUCGCCCCGACGAGCGUCGGCUCUCUCCCGUAGUCGUUCUUGACUGAACGGCUCGGGCGGCCGACUUUUUACUUUGAAAAAAUUAGAGUGUUCAAGGCAGGCCAUAGCGCCCGGAUAGGCAUGCAUGGAAUAAUGGAAUAUGACCGCCGGCCCGUACUGCUACGCAGCUCACAGGUCGGUCUCAGGGCCGGAGGUAAUGAUUGAGAGGGACGGCCGGGGGCAUUCGUACCGCACCGGGAGAGGUGAAAUUCGUUGAUCGGAGCGAGACGACCCAGGGCGAAGGCGUUUGUCAAGAGCGUUUUCUUUAAUCAAGAACGAAAGUCGGAGGCUCGAAGACGAUCAGAUACCGUCGUAGUUCCGACAGUAAACGGUGCCGACCGGCGAUCCGCGGAAGUCUUUAAACGGACUGCGCGGGCGGCCCCUGGGAAACCCGAGUCUCUGGGUUCCGGGGGGAGUAUGGUCGCAAAGCUGAAACUUAAAGGAAUUGACGGAAGGGCACCACCAGGAGUGGGGUCUGCGGCUUAAUUUGACUCAACACGGGAAACCUCACCCGGUCCGGACACCGCUAGGAUUGACAGACCGAGGCUCUUUCUUGAUUCGGUGGGUGGUGGUGCAUGGCCGUUCUUAGUUGGUGGAGCGAUCUGUCUGGUUUAUUCCGAUAACGAACGAGACUCCGGCCUGCUAGUUAGUGCGACGGCGUCAACUCGGGUUGGUCGGGCGGGGGAAGGCUGGGGCUCCGGCCCUUCCCGACCCUGCCUCAGCCCGUCCGCCGUCGUGAUACCGAAGACUUCUUAGAGGGACGGGCGGUGGCCAGCCGCACGAAAAGGAGCGAUAACAGGUCUGUGAUGCCCUUAGACGUCCGGGGCCGCACGCGUGCUACACUGGGGGAGUCAGCGCGGAUCACCUCCCGGCCCGAAGGUCGGGGAAACCGCUGAGUCUCCCCCAUACUCGGGAUCGGGGCUUGACCAUUGUGCCCCGUCAACGAGGAAUUCCCCGUAGGCGCGGGUCAUAACCCCGCGCGAUUACGUCCCUGCCCUUUGUACACACCGCCCGNCGCUACCAUCGGUGGACGGUCUAGCGAGGACCUCGGACCGGCUAAGCGUUUCUUACUCGUUAAGGCCGCUUUCGCCGGGAAGACGCCCGAACUCGGUCGCUCGGAGAUAGUAAAAGUCGUAACAAGGUUUCCGUAGUGAACCUGCGGAAGGAUCAUUA
rnacentral:rRNA from 1 species